UCCAGAGCAAAGUACAAAACUUUUUACACAGCAUUUAAAUUGCAUCCGUUUAUACAGCUGGAUAUAUAGUGAAGCAAUGCAGGUUAAGGGUGAAUUUCUCAAGGGUAGAACUCUUCUAAUUAUCAGCUUAAUGCAGACCUUUAACUGUUGAAUGAGGUGUGCUUUGUUUGGAGUGAAAACCUAAAUAACGGUAGAUUUCCAGGAACAGGGGGUGAAUUCACAGCACGAGGACACGAUUCCAGCAGCUUCUCCUCUCUCCCGGUUCUGAACGAGAGGCACUGCACGGCGCGUGGAGCCACAGUCGCAUCGAUCGCGCGGAACAUUGCGAGAAGCCGAAAACGCAGAAUUAUUCAUCACACAGCUGACAGAUUUCCACUGGCAGCUGCAGCGGUCUGUCACGCCGCUACGCCUGCGCUGAUGCAGGCCACUGCCUGUCACUCUCCAUCCGCUGAACUUAUUUUACGAUCGAUACUUUGUUAGAUGUUGCAAGCAGCCUUAUUAAAUAAAAAAAAUAAAUACAUUUUUAAAAGAAGAGGAAAUUCUACUCACCCGUUAUUUAUUUUUUUGCUGACGGUGUUUCUGUGAGACGAAAAUGUUGAAAUGAAAGCCAGCCGCUGCAAAUGAGGUCAUUAGUGAGCUUUUUGUCUUCAGGUGUGCGGGCUGAAAGAGCCAAGAGGAAA